ensembl:lncRNA
AUUUAUUGAGCACCUAAUGUGGGUUAAGAAUUGGGCUUUACUCUGUAUGCAUCGGCUCCCUUAUUUCUCAUCACAACCCUAUGAGGCAGCUCUUCUUCUUACCUCUAUUUCACAGAUGAGGACGUUGAUCUUAAUGAGCCUACCAGCAUCCCCCCCUUCUUAGAUGAUGCUGACAGCGGGUACUAGCACCCCCAGGCCAUCGUAAUUAGCAUCUGGCUCUGAGCCCAGUCUUCUGGCAGCACAUUCCUCUCCUCCCUCGCCAGCCAAUCUCCUUCCCCCAGCAUCCCUCCAUCAGCACUGCAGCAGCUGCGGCACCAACAACCUCCGCACCAAGGUCACCACCAGAACCAACAAUGACAAAGCACUCACUUCCUUCUUGGGUGGGCACCGCACCGGUCAAUGCCUCACGAUCGUCUGAGCCAUUCUGGGGACGGGCUUCCCUGGUGGCUCAGCAGUAGAGAAUCCACCUGCCAACACAGAAGACGUGGAUUCAAUCCCUGGGUUAGGAAGAUCCCCUGGAGAAGGAAAUGGCAACCUAUUCCAGUAUUCUUGCCUGGGAAAUACCGUGGACAGAAGAGCCUGGCGGGCUAUAGUACAUGGGGUUGCAAAAGAGCUGGACAUGACUUAGCAGCUAAAAAGCAGGUGGUAAACUCCAUCUAAGGCUAAAUACCAGCACGAGACAGAUAGUCAACAAGUACUGUAAGGGAAAGUUGAAAAGAAUUUUCAAAAAACAAUAUUAUACAACUCAGAUCAGAUCAGAUCAGUCACUCAGUCGUGUCUGACUCUUUGCAACCCCAUGAAU